rnacentral:rRNA from 1 species
GAUGAACGCUGGCGGCGUGCUUAACACACGCAAGUCGAACGGGAAAUAUUUCAUUGAGACUUCGGUGGAUUUGAUCUAUUUCUAGUGGCGGACGGGUGAGUAACGCGUGGGUAACCUGCCUUAUACAGGGGGAUAACAGUCAGAAAUGGCUGCUAAUACCGCAUAAGCGCACAGAGCUGCAUGGCUCAGUGUGAAAAACUCCGGUGGUAUAAGAUGGACCCGCGUUGGAUUAGCUGGUUGGUGGGGUAACGGCCCACCAAGGCGACGAUCCAUAGCCGGCCUGAGAGGGUGAACGGCCACAUUGGGACUGAGACACGGCCCAGACUCCUACGGGAGGCAGCAGUGGGGGAUAUUGCACAAUGGGGGAAACCCUGAUGCAGCGACGCCGCGUGAAGGAAGAAGUAUCUCGGUAUGUAAACUUCUAUCAGCAGGGAAGAUAGUGACG